AUGGGCCGAGGGGAGGAUGGUGCAGCGGUGAUGAAGGCCAGGCCAGGGAGAGGUGUGGACAUGGUCCUCAGAGGCUGGAGGAGAAGGGGUGGGGGACAGCGAGCUCUGAGAGCUGGGCUGGGCUGGGCCUCAUCCUCUGAGAUGACAGGGAGGGUGUGGGGAUGGGGAGAGCUGUCUGCAAGUGAGGCGGCUGCAGAAAUGGGGUUAGAGGUGGGAGGCCCUGGGGACCUGGACCCUGGUGGGGCGGCUGGGGCUCUGGGGUCACGGGGCCUGGAUUCCGCACCAGCUCCACCACCUGGGGGCUCCUUGACCUCGGGCACACGUCUGACCUCUCCAGAACUCAGGCUCCUGUUUACAAAGCCCUCCUCCCUCGUGGGAUCAUUGCGAGAAUUCAGUCAGAUUCCUGCACUCUGUGAGCGGAGCGAGGAUGACGAUCGCGCAGCAAACCCAGGAGCUCCAUGUGCCAGGCGAAUCCGCGGUCCAGAGAGCUUGCUCGCGGGACUGCGUGAAAGGGCGGCCACCGUCCACCGAAGGCAGCUGGCGCUCCGGCUCUCAGGCCGCGUCCCUCCACCACCGCCCCCCCGUCUCUUUGCCACCCUUGGACGCCGACGAAGCUUUCUUUACGAUGGAUCACCAAACAAAGGAAUGACGGCGCCUCGAGUUGGGCUCUGUCUCCCAGUUCUGGAAAUGCAAAGCGUGUGACCAUUCACCAUUAAAGUCGAGCGAUCCAUUCUGCGGGGUAGAAAUUCCCAAGAACCGAAAAGGAAAAGCAGAGGCCGCCCUGUUGCGGGCGAGGCUUCCUUAAAUCCCCGUUUCCAGGCCCCCGAGCCCCCCGGAGGGACUGAGCCCAGGCACCUGGACCCGGUUCCCGGGGAUGCUGAGCGGGCCGUCCGCACGCAGACAGCGUCGGGCGGCGGGGGCCGGCUCGCGGGUCGUCAGCGGGGUCCGGGGCCACCGGGGAGGAAGGGCGGCGCGCCGGGACCCUGAGUCUGGGUGCCAGCUUCUUACCACCCCUCUUUUAAAACAAUCGACGUAUUGCGCAAACACCCGCCGUCCGGCCCUUCCCCCUCCCAGCGUUCCCAGAGCCGCGGAAACGCCCCUGCGCGCCGCCUGCUGAAAGGAGCGGGAGGCAAGCCGGGUGCGGAGGCCCGCAGACUGCCCGCCCGGGGCUGAGGCCGCGCCAGUCUCUGCAAGCAGAGGGCUCACAGGGGCCCGACUUGUCCCCAAUCG
rnacentral:lncRNA from 1 species